UACGGAGGAUCCAAGCGUUAUCCGGAAUCAUUGGGUUUAAAGGGUCCGUAGGCGGUUUAGUAAGUCAGUGGUGAAAGCCCAUCGCUCAACGGUGGAACGGCCAUUGAUACUGCCAGACUUGAAUUAUCAGGAAGUAACUAGAAUAUGUAGUGUAGCGGUGAAAUGCUUAGAGAUUACAUGGAAUACCAAUUGCGAAGGCAGGUUACUACUAAUGGAUUGACGCUGAUGGACGAAAGCGUGGGUAGCGAACAGG
rnacentral:rRNA from 1 species